rnacentral:rRNA from 1 species
ACUCAAAGGAAUUGACGGGGGCCCGCACAAGCGGUGGAGUAUGUGGUUUAAUUCGAUGCAACGCGAAGAACCUUACCUGGUCUUGACAUCCCGGGAAUCUUUAGGAAACUAGAGAGUGCCUUCAUUUGGAGGAGCCCGGAGACAGGUGCUGCAUGGCUGUCGUCAGCUCGUGCCGUGAGAUGUUGGGUUAAGUCCCGCAACGAGCGCAACCCUUGCCUUUAGUUGCUAGCAGUUCGGCUGAGCACUCUAAAGGGACUGCCGGUGUCAAACCGGAGGAAGGUGGCGAUGACGUCAAGUCCUCAUGGCCUUUAUGACCAGGGCUACACACGUACUACAAUGGCCGAUACAAAGGGCAGCGACAUUGCGAAAUGGAGCCAAUCCCAUAAAUUCGGUCUCAGUCCGGAUUGGAGUCUGCAACUCGACUCCAUGAAGUUGGAAUCGCUAGUAAUCGCGGAUCAGCAUGCCGCGGUGAAUACGUUCCCGGGCCUUGUACACACCGCCCGUCACACCACGGGAGUCGGUUGUACCAGAAGCAGUUGAGCUAAC